rnacentral:rRNA from 1 species
CCUACGGGAGGCAGCAGUGAGGAAUAUUGGUCAAUGGACGAGAGUCUGAACCAGCCAAGUAGCGUGAAGGAUGACUGCCCUAUGGGUUGUAACCUUCUUUUAUAUGGGAAUAAAAUGUUCCACGUGUGGGAUUUUGUAUGUACCAUAUGAAUAAGGAUCGGCUAACUCCGUGCCAGCAGCCGCGAUAAUACGGAGGAUCUGAGCGUUAUCCGGAUUUAUUGGGUUUAAAGGGAGCGUAGGUGGAUUGUUAAGUCAGUUGUGAAAGUUUGCGGCUCAACCGUAAAAUUGCAGUUGAAACUGGCAGUCUUGAGUACAGUAGAGGUGGGCGGAAUUCGUGGUGUAGCGAUGAAAUGCUUAGAUAUCACGAAGAACUCCGAUUGCGAAGGCAGCUCACUGGACUGCAACUGACACUGAGGCUCGAAAGUGUGGGUAUCAAACAGGAUUAGAUACCCUAGUAGUC